GAAGAAUAGAAGAUGGAGCAACACCUCUGGGGAAUUGCAUUGGUACCCAUGCAGGAAAGACAGGGAGAUGGCAGACAGCUGCCACGGUGAAAGAAGCUAACAGGACUUCAAUACCGAGCACUGACAAUGUUUUUACAAGAGCUGGUGUUCCCGGCUCCCAGCUGACCCGCUGCCGCUGACCUGCUCCCAGCUUGGAGACUCACACAGACCUCCUAC
rnacentral:lncRNA from 1 species